AGCGAACGCUGGCGGCAGGCUUAACACAUGCAAGUCGAGCGGGCAUCCUUGUGGUGUCCGCGGCAGACGGGUGAGUAACGCGUGGGAACGUGCCCUUCGGUUCGGAAUAACUCAGGGAAACUUGAGCUAAUACCGGAUACGUGCGAGAGCAGAAAGGUUUAUCUGCCGAAGGAUCGGCCCGCGUCUGAUUAGCUAGUUGGUGAGGUUAUGGCUCACCAAGGCGACGAUCAGUAGCUGGUCUGAGAGGAUGAUCAGCCACACUGGGACUGAGACACGGCCCAGACUCCUACGGGAGGCAGCAGUGGGGAAUAUUGGACAAUGGGGGCAACCCUGAUCCAGCCAUGCCGCGUGAGUGAUGACGGCCUUAGGGUUGUAAAGCUCUUUUCUCCGGGACGAUAAUAACGGUACCGGAGGAAUAAGCCCCGGCUAACUUCGUG
rnacentral:rRNA from 1 species